rnacentral:lncRNA from 1 species
UCCAUGGUCCCCUCCAGCUGUGAGGUGGGGGCAGGUGUCGCCCCAUGGUCCCCUCCAGCUGUGAGGUGGGGGCAGGUGUCGGCUCCAUGGACCCCUCCAGCUGUGAGGUGGGGGCAGGUGUCGCUCCAUGGACCCCUCCAGCUGAUGAGCGACCCCCGCUGCCCAGCGACCCUCUGCUGCUGCCCUGGUUCCCCUACCCUGUCACUGACUCAAGGUCUUGGUUUCUAUAAUUAAUCCCUCUCUCUUGCAUAUAAUUUCUUCCCUUUUCAGUAUCUAUUAUUUCCCAUGUAAAAUACUAACACCCUCCACUGACCUCACAUUCCCUCCAGUUAUCCUCCCUGUAUAACGAAGCCCUCGGCAGGGCACGGCCUCACCUCCCACCUCAGCAGGGCACGGCCUCACCUCCCACCUCAGCAGGGCACGGCCUCACCUCCCAUCUCAGCAGGGCACGGCCUCACCUCCCAUCUCAGCAGGGCACGGCCUCACCUCCCAUCUCUGCAGGGCACGGCCUCACCUCCCAUCUCAGCAGGGCACGGCCUCGCCUCCCAUCUCUGCAGGGCACGGCCUCACCUCCUACCUUAGCAGGGCACGGCCUCACCUCCCACCUCAGCAGGGCACGGCCUCACCUCCCAUCUCUGCUGAGUCCACUUCAUUCAGGCUUCCGUCCCCAGCUCCCUCUGAAACCACACCUGUCCAGGUCACCAGCGAGGUCAGUGUUGCCGAACCCGGUGGCCCCCUCUUCCUGGCCUUCCCAGGGGCAGCUUCCCUGACUGACCACUCCCUCCUUCUUGAACCUUUUUUUUCACUUGGACUUGAGGACCCCGUACUCUUUCCCAUCCUUGCCCUCCCCUCAGUUCCACCUCAGGCUCCUCUGCUGAACCCUCGUCUUCCUCCAGGCCUCUAGUUCUGCAAUGCCCCAGCUCCCAGUCCUGAGCCCCUUCUCUCUUCCCACGUUCUCCCGGGUUGGUCUCCUCUAGUCUGUGGUUUGGGGCACCAUCUACACAGAUGCUUCCCUGAUUUUCCGUCAUCAGCGCCUCCUUCCCGAGCUCUAGCCUCAUAUCUUCAAUGGCUGAUUUAAUUUUUGACUUCUAUGUCCAGGUUUACCAUUUACAAAGCACAACUCUUGAUUAUUCACCAGCAAACACACUUUCCCCUGCGUUUUCUCCUCCUAGCAAAUGAUCUCACCACUGACCUGUCUGCCUGGGCCGACACCUGGGACCACCCCUGAGUCCUCAGCAUCCCCGCAGGAAACAAGCCAGUGAGAAGGACGAUUUACAUGAAAAGGCCUGACUGGAAGGGCUACUCUCAGAGAUGGGGGCAGAGAUAAGCAACAAAGGACAGAUGUUAAGGACCCAGAGACCAGCGACAGCAGGAAGUCCCCACCACCCUAGGCCAGAAGGGACCAGAGAGAAACAGAAUAUUCGGAGGCCAGGGAAGGUGGGUCUCUUCCUGGUGGGAACUGUGGUCAGGCAGUGACCA